AUACUUACCUGGCAGGGAGACACCAUGAUCACGAAGGUGAUUUUCCCAGGGUGAGGCUUAUCCAUUUUACUCUAGAUGUGCUGGCCCCUGUGAUUUCCCCAAAUGUGGGAAACUCGACUGCAUAAUUUGCAGCAUUGGGGUGUUUGCAUUCUCUCCUA